GAUGAAGAACGUAGUGAAAUGCGAUAAGUAAUGUGAAUUGCAGAAUUCAGUGAAUCAUCGAAUCUUUGAACGCAUCUUGCGCUCCUUGGUAUUCUGAGGAGCAUGCCUGUUUGAGUGUCAUUAAAUUCUCAACUACACUGACUUUGAAUUGGUGUGGCUUGGAUUUGGGGGGAAAAUUGUUGUGGGCUUUUUGUAUAGUCUGCUCCCCUGAAAUUGAUUAGCGGUACCUUUGUGGAACUGUCUACAGGUGUGAUAAUUAUCUACAUCUGCUGGAAUGCUGCUUUCUAAACCUUACUUGUAUUGACAAUCUUGACCUCAAAUCAGGUAGGACUACCCGCUGAACUUAAGCAUAUCAAUAAGCGGAGGA
rnacentral:misc_RNA from 1 species